rnacentral:lncRNA from 12 species
AAAAUCAGGCUCCUGGUCCCACCCCACACUCAGGAGCAGAGCAUGUGCAAACGGGAGCCCGCGCCCCUGCUCCCGGACCCCAUCAGGCCCCCACCCCAAGGCCAGGGGCAGGCCCAAAUGUACCUCGGGCAUCCCAGAAGGAGCAUCUUUCUGAGUCUGGCACAGGUUCAGGGCAAGUGCUGAAGCCUGGAUGUGUGCUGGGAAACAGGCUGCUGCACAGUCCCCUGGCAUCUUGGGAUGGGGUCAGACCACACCCCACCUGCUUCGUCCCACCCCACCCUGCUCCACCCGACAGAGUGAGCACCUGUGCCCGCCGCAACUGCCUGCAAGAAUUCAAGUCCGGGACCAACGCUGAGCAGAGAUCAGUUCAACUGUAUCACUGCGAGUUCGUGACCUGCUGUCAAAGUGGAGCUUCUUUGCAAAUGUCUUUGCAAAUGUUUUUCUCCUCCUCUGAGCCCUGGGUCCUAAACCCUCAUAGCUCCUUUCUUCCAACUGGCCAAGUUGGACUAGCGAACCUCCAAAGGAUGGGUAUGACUAAACACGCGCCAUGCCUGCAACUGUUGAAGCCAGUGAAUAAAAUGGGUUCAAUUGCUCUGGCUAAGGACAGGGUGGAAAUUUGGGGCGGGGUGAGGAAUGUGAAAAUGAACAAGAUAAUUAUUUUAGUGUCUUUUAUAGAUCGCAUGUCACUCUGUUAGCUUAGGAGCAUUAAAAAUGUAUAACGUAGGGCUUGUUCUGCUCAUAAAAUGAUCCUCUUUGGCAUAUUAAAAUUUAAAGUAUAGUUUAUUCACGCACUAAUUACACUUUUACUAAUUGAAUUUACCUUUAAAUAUUUCAAAGUUUUGUAAUAAAUCGAGCUACAAGAUACUGAGCCUCA